UCUCUUCACACAUCACAGGAGCUGUGCCUGGACGUCCUCUGCCUGCUCACGCGGGUUCAGAGUUGAUGACCACGGCAGCUGAAUAACUCAUGGAACCGUCCUCCUUUUACGUGACGUUCAUCCUAUUCACAGCAUCCCAGAACAAGUCGUCUGAUACCAUGCAUUUUCGGCCGUAAAAAGCUUUGAGAAUGGUGGCCAGGCACGGGCGUUAUAUUCCACCUCUGUUUGCCGAGAUGAUUCAUCGUUGAGGCUCAGAAUAACCAUAACUAGCCUACAUUU
rnacentral:sRNA from 1 species